UACGAGGGUGCAAGCGUUGUCCGGAUUAUUGGGCGUAAAGGGCUCGUAGGCGGUUUGUCGCGUCGGGAGUGAAAACACACAGCUUAACUGUGUGCUUGCUUCCGAUACGGGCAGACUAGAGGUAUGCAGGGGAGAACGGAAUUCCUGGUGUAGCGGUGAAAUGCGCAGAUAUCAGGAGGAACACCGGUGGCGAAGGCGGUUCUCUGGGCAUUACCUGACGCUGAGGAGCGAAAGUGUGGGGAGCGAACAGG
rnacentral:rRNA from 1 species